GACUCCUACGGGAGGCAGCAGUGGGGAAUAUUGCACAAUGGGCGCAAGCCUGAUGCAGCCAUGCCGCGUGUGUGAAGAAGGCCUUCGGGUUGUAAAGCACUUUCAGCGGGGAGGAAGGCGUUAAGGUUAAUAACCUUGGCGAUUGACGUUACCCGCAGAAGAAGCACCGGCUAACUCCGUGCCAGCAGCCGCGGUAAUACGGAGGGUGCAAGCGUUAAUCGGAAUUACUGGGCGUAAAGCG
rnacentral:rRNA from 1 species